GAUGAACGCUGGCGGCGUGCCUAAUACAUGCAAGUAGAACGCUGAAGGAGGAGCUUGCUCUUCUGGAUGAGUUGCGAACGGGUGAGUAACGCGUAGGUAACCUGCCUGGUAGCGGGGGAUAACUAUUGGAAACGAUAGCUAAUACCGCAUGACAACAGUUAUUGCAUGAUAACUGUUUAAAAGGGGCAACUGCUCCACUACCAGAUGGACCUGCGUUGUAUUAGCUAGUUGGUGAGGUAACGGCUCACCAAGGCGACGAUACAUAGCCGACCUGAGAGGGUGAUCGGCCACACUGGGACUGAGACACGGCCCAGACUCCUACGGGAGGCAGCAGUAGGGAAUCUUCGGCAAUGGACGGAAGUCUGACCGAGCAACGCCGCGUGAGUGAAGAAGGUUUUCGGAUCGUAAAGCUCUGUUGUAAGAGAAGAACGAGUGUGAGAGUGGAAAGUUCACACUGUGACGGGAUCUUACCAGAAAAGGACGGCUAACUACGU
rnacentral:rRNA from 1 species